GAUGAACGCUGGCGGCGUGCCUAAUACAUGCAAGUCGAGCGAACAGACGAGGAGCUUGCUCCUCUGACGUUAGCGGCGGACGGGUGAGUAACACGUGGAUAACCUACCUAUAAGACUGGGAUAACUUCGGGAAACCGGAGCUAAUACCGGAUAACAUGUUGAACCGCAUGGUUCAACAGUGAAAGACGGUCUUGCUGUCACUUAUAGAUGGAUCCGCGCCGCAUUAGCUAGUUGGUAAGGUAACGGCUUACCAAGGCAACGAUGCGUAGCCGACCUGAGAGGGGGGGCGGCCACAGUGGAACGGGAACAGGGCCAGGACUCCUACGGGAGGCGGCAGGAGGGAAUCUUCCGCAAGGGGCGAAGGCCUGACGGCGCAGCGCCGGGGGAGUGAAGAGGGUCUUGGGAUCGUAAAACUGUUUUAUGGGAGAAAAAAAAAUGUGAAAGAAACUAGGCACGUCUGCAGGGUACCUAAUAAGAAAGCCACGGCUACCUACGUC
rnacentral:rRNA from 1 species